UACGUAGGGGGGCAAGCGUUGUCCGGAUUUAUUGGGCGUAAAGAGCGUGUAGGCGGCCAGACAGGUCCGUUGUGAAAACUCGAGGCUCAACCUCGAGACGCCGAUGGAAACCGUCUGGCUAGAGUCCGGAAGAGGAGAGUGGAAUUCCUGGUGUAGCGGUGAAAUGCGCAGAUAUCAGGAAGAACACCCGUGGCGAAAAGCGGCUCUCUGGAACGGUACUGACGCUGAGACGCGAAAGCGUGGGGAGCGAACAGG
rnacentral:rRNA from 1 species